ACAGAUUUAUAACAACCUCAAUCAACCAUUGAUUAGGCACCUCUAAUCCAAUCAAAAUUAGAUCAAAAAUUUUAUAUAAAUAGAUUUAAAUGAGAUUUAAUGUUACAUAAAAAAUUUUAAUUAUAUAUUAUAUAAAUAAUCAUAAAAAAUUCUAUUUAUUAUAUAUAUAUUUCAAGUCUGCUCUGAUACCAGUUGAAGGGAAGGAAACAGUUUCCCUCCAGAAUGUCCAGGUUGCAUCUAAAAUUUUUCUCUAAUAUUCUACUUAUUUAAAGAUGAAAUCCUUACCUGAAUCGUAGUGGAACCAAAGAUCAAAUUCUAAAUUAUCUGAUAUAAAUCUUCAUGGAGGCCUGGAUAUACAGACCCUCUACUUCGCAUGCACGUCAGAUGCCACAGGAAAGCAGGAUGAACUCCAAUCCAAUUGGCUUCACAACUCAAUCAAUCGAGGGAUGAGAUGUGGUGAUAUGAUACUUCACACUAAUAGAUAGGAUACCCAAGAAGGAUCCACACCCAAGAAGAGGAGGCGGCAAC
rnacentral:lncRNA from 1 species